UCGCACAUACACCUUAACAGAGAAGAAAGAAGCAAGAAAGUUCCGAGAGAGAGAGAGAGAUGGAGAGCUUUCCUUGUGAAUCUGAAUCUUGGGUUUCCUCCAUAAUCUCGAUCCACCAUAGCCCAGAAGAUGAUACUUUGGAAAGCCACCAAAGCAAUACUGGGUUUUUCAACCAAGAUGAAGAGUGGUCAAAAUUGAAUAUCAAUAACAAGAAGACCAAGAAGAAGAAGAACCAGGUUUUGCUUGAAGGGUACGUGGAAUCUACCGAUGAGGACGACCUAACGAGGACCAAAAGCUUGACGGAUGAGGAUCUCGAUGAGCUUAAAGGGUGCUUGGAUCUUGGCUUUGGGUUCAGUUAUGAUGAGAUUCCUGAGCUCUGCAACACCUUGCCUGCGCUUGAGCUCUGCUAUUCCAUGAGCCAGAAGUUCAUGGACGAACACCAGAAGUCGCCAGAUAAUGCUGAGGCUGCAUCCACGGACUCUUGCCCGUCGGUGUCGAGCCCCAUUGCCAAUUGGAAGAUCUCUAGUCCCGGCGACCAUCCUGAAGAUGUCAAGGCAAGGCUUAAAUUCUGGGCGCAGGCUGUGGCAUGUACUGUUAGAUUAUGCAGCUAAAUAAAAUAAUGGAUCCAUCAGGAAAGGGAAAACGUUUUCUUUGCAAUUGGAAGUCAUUAACCUGGACUUUCCUGUGGAGCUUGUGCUCCACUCAUCCCUCCAGGUCGAGCUUUACUCAGGAAUGAUUGUUCCUGCUAUUUUUUGGCUGGAGUUGGACCUGCUAAAACCAAUUGACAUGAGCCGGCUGUAGUGAAGAGAAGAAAGAGGAAGAAGAAGAAUCAGUUGUUGGUUUUAUGCAGCGGUGAGAACCUUCAUUAGAUCUUCACCAGCCAUUUUGCAGACCUCUGCAUUUGCUGAGAUGAAUUCCCAUUCGGCUGAGGCUGCAAGGAGCAGCAACAAGUGGGGGGGAAGAGUGGAGAAAAGGAGUGCUAACUUGUACAUCUUCAUUGAAUCCGCCAUUUCUCCUAGUUCCCCCAAUUUCCUGUCACUUCAAUAGGAACGUGGUUCCUGAUGUUUUCAUCUAAGAACAAUUAUAUUGUUGUAUCAAUAACAGUGUUCUGACUCAGAUGUUGAAAAACAUCUUUAGAUAGCAAUGAAAUCCAAAGAACUGCUCCCGGUCUUGUUA